AUUGGUCAUUGUUCCAAUGGAAUAGUGGACAUUCCGGGCACAAUGCCAUGGGUGAGGUAAAGGGAGAGGGCAGCCAGCAUUCCAGAACAUCCGGCCUCACUGCGGCUUUAGAAGGAGGAAGGCUGGUCUAUGUUGAAGCAGGCCAAGAUCAGGGAUGUUCUUCUCAGCAAAGAGAGCUUCUGUAUCUGCCCCACAAUGGAUAGUCUUAAGGAGUUGCCCAGAGCACUGAAAGUUUUGGGGAGCGUCAUUAAAUACAGCUGGCUGAGGUCAAAGAAAUACAGUCAUUUUGGUGAUAAUAAAGUCCUGCAAAUAAAAUCAACGUCCAUUGAUUGGAAACUGGCUAAACAAAAGGUGGGACGUGAAUGCCAUUUCUAUGCUAUAAGAAAUGAAUAUGAAGUAUUCUGAGAAGUACCAGAAGACUUAAGUGAACUGAUGCAACAUGAAACAAGUACAGCCAGGACACAAUAUACACAAGGACUACAACACAAAUGGAAAGAGCAAAAACCUGCAAUUGCAUGUUAUGUAAUUAUAGUGCCACAACUUGACCCUGAAGAAGAGACGAGUAAAUCUAUCUUUCCCCUUUUUUUCCCUUGGAGAAGGGAAGGUUCAGAGGAAACACAAGAGCUCCCCUGAAGUAUCUGAAGCUCUCUCUGUUUUUUGAUGGGGGAUAUGGAUGAGGAAUCAUGUACAUUCUGUUGAUUGCUGGUUUCACUGUAUUUUUUUUCUCCAUUUUUUGAUUUUUUGUUACAAUGGAUGAUUUGUUGGAUAGGGGUGGUACAUGAAAGUAGAAAAUGAUGAUGAUGUCAAAACAAAAGGAAUGAAUAAAUUAUAAUUUAAAGAAUAGAAAACAACUGUUUGGUAUUACAAGCAGAUGAUAGGAUUAGAGCCAAUGGUCUAAUCAAAGAAAUUACCUCAGUUUGCUCUCACUCACAUGAGACCACUGUAUACCAGAAAGUCAAUACCUCAAUAGCUAGGGGAAAAAGGUCUUUAGAAUAAUCAUCAUCAUCUUUAUCAUCAUCAACAAUAAUUGUAUUUGUCAUUAAACUUUUCAUAAUGCACUAAUGUUUACGAAAUGCUUUGCAUAUAUUAUUCCUUUUAAUACAAGAAGUAAGUGAUAUAGGGGAUAAUACCCCAUCUCCCCCAUUUUAAAGAUAAGGAAACCAAGG